GACAUGCUCAGCUCAGGAUGUUAUCAAUCUUUAGCACUUAAAGGACAGAACAAAGGGUAAGGAUAUUUAUGGUGAGUUUUAAAAAUACUCAUUGCAUGGGAUGCGCGCUGAUUUAUUUAUUCAAGGCGUUGUUGGAGCAGCUCGAUGCCGCUAACGACCUAUUUCGUUCGGAAGGGAGAUACCCAGUGGUUGAUUCGCGGCUACAGCGAUUUGUUGACUUGCUGCCAGAGCUCAAGACUUUUCUGUCGACGAGGAAUGAGGAACACAAAGAACUGUCAGAUGAUGCGUGGCUACAGCCGGUGCUCCUGGGGGACAAGCUGGAGUACUCAGGAGUGGAUCACCACCUCACAUCAUGGAUUAUAGACAACCUCAGCAACCGCCCCCAGUAUGUGAGGACAUGGGACUGUGUCUCUGAUACAGUAGUCUGCAGCACAGGAGCGCCACAGGGAACAGUCUUGGCUCCCUUUCUGUUCACCCUGUACACAGUAGACUUCAUGUACAGCACAGCCACCUGCCAUGUGCAGAAGUUCUCUGACGACUCUGCCAUCGUCGGCCUCAUCACAGAUGACGAUGACAGGGAGUACAGAAAACUGACUCAGGACUUUGUGGACUGGUGCCAGUGGAACUGCCUCCAGAUCAACGCGGGUAAAACCAAGGAGCUGGUGGUGGAUUUCCGCAGGCGCAGUCACCCCCCCACAACACCGGUGAACAUCCAGGGAAAGGACAUAGAGAAAGUGGUGUCUUAUAAGUACCUGGGUGUUCACCUGAACAAUAAACUGGACUGGACAGACAACACCAUGGCACUGUACAAGAAGGGCCAGAGCACUGAACAACUCCUUCAGCGACCGGCUCCUUCACCCUUAGUGUGUGAAGGAGCGGUACCGCAGGUCCUUCCUUCCUGCUGCUGUGAGACUGUAUAACCAGCACUGCUCUAAAUUGAACACACACACAGGACUCAACCACUCUAAAAUAAUUCACGGAUACAUUUAAAGUGCAUUACUAACUGUGCAAUAUUUAUAUUUGUAAUAUUCCAUUUGCAACUAUUGCUACUGCUCUGUAUAUAGUAUUCAUAUACGUUUGCUUUUUUUAUUUAAUGUUAAUUUUUUAUUUUUUUGUAAAAUUUUGUACAUACUAACCCCGUUUUUGUAAAUUUCUUAUACAUUCUUCUGUCCACUUUGCUUCUUUAAUGCCCGAAUUUCCCCAUUGUGGGACGAAUAAAGGUAUAUCUUAU
rnacentral:lncRNA from 1 species